rnacentral:rRNA from 1 species
GACGAACGCUGGCGGCGUGCUUAACACAUGCAAGUCGUACGGUAAGGCCCUUUCGGGGGUACACGAGUGGCGAACGGGUGAGUAACACGUGAGUAACCUGCCCACAACUUUGGGAUAACGCUAGGAAACUGGUGCUAAUACUGGAUAUGUGCCCCUGCUGCAUGGUGGGGGUUGGAAAGCUCCGGCGGUUGUGGAUGGACUCGCGGCCUAUCAGCUUGUUGGUGGGGUAGUGGCCUACCAAGGCGGCGACGGGUAGCCGGCCUGAGAGGGUGACCGGCCACAUUGGGACUGAGAUACGGCCCAGACUCCUACGGGAGGCAGCAGUGGGGAAUAUUGCACAAUGGGCGCAAGCCUGAUGCAGCAACGCCGCGGGCGGGAUGACGGCCUUCGGGUUGUAAACCGCUUACAGCAGGGACGAAGCUUUUUGUGACGGUACCUGCAGAAGAAGCACCGGCUAACUACGUG